AAAUGAUUUCUUUAGAUGAGAAUAAGGGAGAGGCAAAUAACCAAAUUUGAAGUUCUAGCUGAAUUCAGCAACUAAACAGAUACUCCUUUCUCCUGUUUUCUGUUACAAUUGUAGUUAAGGACUGUAUCUCCAUGCAGUCAUGGUUCUGUAGACUUUGAAGGAAAGCUAAUUCUAAAAUUGAGGCAGAACUCCCCUAAUUUACUGUUUUUAUGUUGACAUCCUGUUACAAUCAUAUUUUUUGUCCUUGGAGGAAAAAGAGGAGCCAAACUCCUUUUGCUCAUUGUCAAAUAUUUCACAGACACUUUUGUGUGAAAUAGGAAGGGAAAUCUGUUAGUAAUUCUUUCUUAAUUAAUACCUUUCAUCACUGUGUUUACUCUUCAAGCUUAACUUCUCUGUUUUCUGAUUAGCUUGUCACAUUCCAAACCACAAUUCUAUUUCUUUAAGAAAAGCAUAAGGAGAAAUUUUUCCCAGGCGAAAUCAGUGCCUUUGAUUAUACUAUCUCAAAGCCUUCUGUGGACGACUGGAGAGGGAUACCCCUGUGCAUUUGACCUUACCAAGCUCUAAAUCUAUAUUGUGUUGCUAAAUGGUUGCCCGAAGAGCUCAGUCCAACGCAGGGACAAAGCCAACAAGGCUCAGCUUUCCUAGCUUUCCCUGGCUCCUGCCUCUCUCUGCAUUCUGUACACUGUGACGCCCACCUACAGCCACAAGACCCUGGCAGGGAUCAGCAGGAACCACAGAUUAGCAUGUGUGCUACUCUCAGUUUUCUGUGCAGCUCUUUGCAUUUUCCCCAAUCUGGCAGGCGCCAUCUCUAUCAGCCUGCAGCUCCACCACUGAGAAUUCUUCAGAAGGAGCAAGUUAGUCAUCCCACUUGGGUAAGAAGAAAUGUUUUCUCUUAA
rnacentral:lncRNA from 1 species